UGGGGAAUCUUGCACAAUGGACGAAAGUCUGAUGCAGCAACGCCGCGUGGGGGAUGAAGCUUCUCGGAGUGUAAACCCCUUUCGACCCGGAAGAAUGCCCGCAAGGGUUUGACGGUACGGGUAUAAGAAGCCCCGGCUAACUACGUGCCAGCAGCCGCGGUAAUACGUAGGGGGCCAGCGUUGCUCGGAAUUACUGGGCGUAAAGGGUCCGUAGGCGGUGCGGCAAGUCGAGAGUGAAAUCCCUAGGCUUAACCUAGGGGCUGCUAGCGAAACUGCCGUGCUAGAGUGUGAGAGAGGCGAGUGGAAUUACGGGUGUAGCGGUGAAAUGCGUAGAUAUCCGUAGGAACAUCCGAGGCGAAAACGGCUCGCUGGAUCACAACUGACGCUGAGAGACGAAAGCUAGGGGAGCAAACAGGAUUAGAUACCCUGGUAGUCCUAGCCCUAAACCAUCAGGACUUGGGGUUUGCCCUGUACGGGGCAAGUCCCGUAGCUAACGCGUUAAGUCCUGCGCCUGGGGAGUACGGUCGCAAGGCUG
rnacentral:rRNA from 1 species